AUGUUGGCUUAGAAGCAGCCAUCAUUUAAAGAAAGCGUAAUAGCUCACUGGUCGAGUCGGCCUGCGCGGAAGAUGUAACGGGGCUAAGUAGUAAACCGAAGCUGCGGCAAUGUGCUUUUGCACAUUGGGUAGGGGAGCGUUCUGUAAGCGGUUGAAGGUGUGUGGUAACGCAUGCUGGACGUAUCAGAAGUGCGAAUGCUGACAUGAGUAACGAUAAAGGGGGUGAAAAACCUC
rnacentral:rRNA from 1 species